AAUUCUCAACCAUAUAUCAGCUUGCUGAAUAUGGCUUGGACUUGGGAUUCUGCUGGCUUCAAAUCGAAGUGGGCUAUCCUUAAAUUCAUUAGCAGGACUUUUUGUCAACUAGCUUUUUUGGUGUGAUAAAUUAUCUACGCCAUGGCUUGUUUCCUAACGGGUUCAGCUCAUAAUCAUCUCUUUCAAAGAUA
rnacentral:misc_RNA from 1 species